AUUGAACGCUGGCGGCAUGCCUUACACAUGCAAGUCGAACGGCAGCACGGGGGCAACCCUGGUGGCGAGUGGCGAACGGGUGAGUAACACAUCGGAACGUGCCCAGUAGUGGGGAUAGCUCGGCGAAAGCCGGAUUAAUACCGCAUACGACCUACGGGUGAAAGCGGGGAUCGCAAGACCUCGCGCUAUCGGAGCGGCCGAUGUCAGAUUAGGUUGUUGGUGGGGAAAGGCCUACCAAGCCGACGAUCUGUAGCUGGUCUGAGAGGACGACCAGCCACACUGGGACUGAGACACGGCCAGACUCCUACGGGAGGCAGCAGUGGGGAAUUUUGGACAAUGGGCGCAAGCCUGAUCCAGCCAUGCCGCGUGCGGGAAGAAGGCCU
rnacentral:rRNA from 1 species